UACGUAGGGGGCAAGCGUUGUCCGGAUUUAUUGGGCGUAAAGAGCGUGUAGGCGGCUAGGUAGGUCCGUUGUGAAAACUCGAGGCUCAACCUCGAGCUGUCGAUGGAAACCAUCUGGCUAGAGUCCGGAAGAGGAGAGUGGAAUUCCUGGUGUAGCGGUGAAAUGCGCAGAUAUCAGGAGGAACGCCGGUGGCGAAAGCGAUUCUCUGGCCCGUUCCUGACACUGAGGCGCGAAAGCUAGGGGAGCAAACAGG
rnacentral:rRNA from 1 species